AGGACCAACCUUGAAGGACCGAUUCCUCGGAACAUCAGUUCCUGCACUGCACUGAAUCAAUUUAAUGUGCACGGCAACCGAUUGAAUGGUUCCAUUCCAUCUGAAUUCCAGAAGCUGGAGAGUCUAACAUAUCUGCUGUGGACUCUAUGGGGAGAACAGAAUAAUCGUUGCAGUAGGAACCUACGCGGUCAGCUUUGAAGACACUUUUAGGAGGGCAAAAUCAAAGAUUUUGGAGUGGUCUUAUGGAUUGUUAGGGUGGUGUUGUUGUUUUUUUUUUUGGCUUGUAAAUCAAAGUUGUUUUUGCCUAAAUCACUAUUUUGCUGGUUUAUUCAAAUUAAUGAUGCCAGCUCAA